UACGGGGGGGGCAAGCGUUGUUCGGAAUUACUGGGCGUAAAGGGCUCGUAGGCGGCCUUCUAAGUCGAACGUGAAAUCCCCGGGCUCAACCCGGGAACUGCGUCCGAUACUGGAAGGCUUGAAUCCGGGAGAGGGAUGCGGAAUUCCAGGUGUAGCGGUGAAAUGCGUAGAUAUCUGGAGGAAUACCGGUGGCGAAGGCGGCAUCCUGGACCGACAUUGACGCUGAUGAGCGAAAGCUAGGGGAGCAAACGGG
rnacentral:rRNA from 1 species